rnacentral:rRNA from 1 species
GCGAGAAAACUUUGCAAUGUGCGAAAGCACGACAAGGUUAAUCCGAGUGAUUUCUGCUAAAGAAAUCUUUUGUCAGUCAUAAAACCACUGACGAAUAAGGGGUGGGCAAGUUCUGGUGUCAGCCGCCGCGGUAAAACCAGCACCUCAAGUGGUCAGGAUGAUUAUUGGGCCUAAAGCAUCCGUAGCCGGCUUUGUUAGUUUUCGGUUAAAUCCAUGUGCUCAACACAUGGGCUGCCGAAAAUACUGCAUGGCUAGGGAGUGGGAGAGGUAGACGGUACUCAGUAGGAAGGGGUAAAAUCCUUUGAUCUAUUGAUGACCACCUGUGGCGAAGGCGGUCUACCAGAACACGUUCGACGGUGAGGGAUGAAAGCUGGGGGAGCAAACCGG